CCCCAAAAGCUGGAGGAAGGCGUGAUCCUGCAAAGACGAGGCCGCCUCUGGAAAAGGCGAAAC
rnacentral:SRP_RNA from 11 species